CACGUAGUUAGCCGAGGCUUAUUCUGCGGGUACAGUCACUUUCUUCGUCCCGCUUAAAGAGCUUUACAAUCCGAAGACCUUCAUCGCUCACGCGGCGUUGCUGGGUCAGAGUUGCCUCCAUUGCCCAAUAUUCCCCACUGCUGCCUCCCGUAGGAGUUUGGACCGUGUCUCAGUUCCAAUGUGGCCGAUCACCCUCUAAGGUCGGCUACCCAUCGUAGGUUGGUGGGCCGUUACCUCACCAACUGCCUAAUGGGACGCGAGCUCAUCCAUAUCCGAUAAAUCUUUCACCUCAAAAGAUGCUUUCGUGGUCAUAUGCGGUAUUAGCAGUCAUUUCUAACUGUUAUCCCCUGAUAUGGCAGAUUGCUCACGCGUUACUCACCGUCCGCCACUAAUGCAAGGAGCAAGCCCCUUGCAUCCGUUCGACUUGCAUGUGUAAGCACGCCGCCAGCGUUCACUCCUGAGCCAGGACUCGAAACUCU
rnacentral:rRNA from 1 species